CCGACCAUAGCUCAGUUGGAAGAGCACAAGACUGUAAAGGAUAACCGAAAUCUUGGGGUCGCCUGUUCGAACCAGGCUGGUCGGA
rnacentral:tRNA from 1 species